CCAAAGGCUCUUUUAAGAGCCACCCACCUCUUCUGUUGAGAGAGCU
rfam:Mus musculus chromosome 13, GRC primary reference assembly.